CGUAGUUGGACUUCUGAUGUGGGGAUUCGGUCCACCGCAAGGUGAGCACUGAUGUCCUUGCGUCUUCCUCUCGUAGUUGUUUGGCGCACUUAGUUGGGUGCCAGAUGAAUAUGGGACCUUUACUUUGAAAAAAUUAGAGUGUUCAAAGCAGGCGAUCGCUUGAAUACAUUAGCAUGGAAUAAUAGAAUAGGACUUUGGUUCUAUUUUGUUGGUUUCUAGGACCGAAGUAAUGA
rnacentral:rRNA from 1 species